UUUAAGUUGGUGAAUGCUGCCAUAAUUCUUGCCUUCAGUUCAUCUUUGGUAUUACAAGGAGUUUUGUUAGUCUCUCGUUCAACUUUGCCCCACAUAUAAUAAUCAAUGGGGUUACAGUCUUGGGAGUUAGGUGGCUAGUUGUUAGAAAUCGGAAGAGUGUCG